rnacentral:lncRNA from 10 species
GAGAACUUGACUUGUUCAGGUCCUAGGUGACUGCGCAAUGUGAGUGGGUUACGAGACCCAAGGGUUUACAGAGAUAGCAGCUGAGACCACAGGCCAAACCCCAAAGAAACCCUGGCACAGGAGGAUGCUGUGGAACUAAUGACUCUCUUAAAAGCUUCCUGAUCCAUCUCUGCUCAGCACCUGGCAGAGACAGCUUAUCUCUCAUUGGUGGGAAUCUGAGCCUAGGGUCAGAGCAGUAAGCAAAGCCUGUUCUUCACACAUGGGGAGGAUAUAGGAACAUGCCUUCACCCCGUCUGCAACCUGGGAAGGAGAGACGUUACCUCCCCCAAGCACACCCUGGGAACAAACUGAAACCACCUCCUGCUAUCCCCCACCUGCCUUUGCUGACACCUGUAAAGCUGCCAACCCGCCUCUGCACAUACCUGCAUCGUGUUCACAGUUGAACCUUUGGCUCCCGACUGCACCAUCAUCUGCAGGCUGUUCUCUGGGAACUGUCUGUGUAGGCCAAAAGGCAUGCAUGCCUGCAGAUUAAAUCAGCACAGUGGUCAGUGACUUCACCUUCUUUAAAAAUCCCAGAAUCAGGAUGUAAAUCCAGGAAGCAGAAGCAAUACAGCCAGAAUAUUUAUUCAGACCUAAGUACCAAAUCCCACUCGAGGUAAGAGAAAGCCUCAUUCAGCAUUAAUCCUUCCCUGGAACCCCUGAGAGGUCAAACAGGUGCUCCCUGCCCUGCACUCGCUGGACUUCCUCUGCCAGGAUCCCCGAGGUUUCAUUCAUUGGCCAAAGAGCAGCAAAAAGGGAGAAGGAAAAGGAGAAGUAGAGGGGCUGGCAGAUCCAGUUCGUGAUUCUAAAAAGAAGCUGGAGAAGAAUAAAAUUUAAGGUGAUGCCCUUGAUUCGCCCAGCAGAGCCUGGCCUGGGUCCUCUCCCAGCGUGAAUACCAACAUCCGCAUCAUGUCACAUUUACGAACAUGCCACCCAAGCCCCAUGUAGGAAGCUCUGUCUUGGCUCAAGAGCCAGCAGAACCAAGCAUGCCCCUUCAGGGGGAUCCUGGGGAGAUGCUGAGAAGGGGGCUCUGAGUCUGGGGCUUCUAGCCUGUGCCUGGAAUUCCACAGACUUGGCCCAACACAGGAGAGGCAGAGCCUGGGUGGGCGGAGGUGGUGGGAAGAGGGCAACUGGAGGGACAAGAAACCAUUCUGAGAUGCAUCUGAAGACAACUUCCCUACUCCUAGCAUCCCCAGUCAGCCCUAGAAGCUGAGCUUCCUGGUUCUCAGGGAGGUGCUAGGAAAGCUCCUGUCAACAAAACCCCUCAAGGAUGGAACCUGUCCCCAUGAGAAGUCGGUCUUCUCAGCAGCCUAAGGGAUGCUAAAAGCCAGGCAAGAGAGCACUACAGACGAACUUUGACUUUUGAUGAGUGUUGGCAUUGCCUCCUCCUCCCCACUCCUCAGGCUGGGCCCCAGGGCCCAGGAGGCAGGGUGAGGGCCAGGCCAGCUCCUCCAAGCAGCAGGAUGGAGAACCCUGGCUCUGGGGCAGAAAGGCAGAGAAAAGCAGGCUGUGGUUUCAGCUCAUGCAGAGAUUUCCCCUCUCCUUUCUCAACUGCCCAGGAACUGGCUUGGCAUUGUGUACUAGUAGCUCCUGAAGCCUCUCUGCAGCCCUGUGAGGUGGUGCCCCUCACAGCCCCACUUCCAGGUGAGGAAACCAAGGCAGGGACUGGUUAUCUCACUUGCCCAAGGUCACACAGCAAGUUCAAGGCAGAGCCAGGACUGGAACCUGAGCCUUCACUCCUGGCUCCGCUGCAUGAGCAGCCAGGGCGAUCCGGGUCCCUCACCCUGCUUAUUCACCCCUGGUGGCCCCAUUCAGCCCCUUUAAUGCAGUCACCCCAAAAUAAAAACAUUUAUAAAGAAAAACAGCACAAAGCAUUCUCUCUUGGCACUAUUCUGAGGCCUGUAUAGACCCUAACUGGGGCAGGGAACAAAGCCCUGGGCCCUUCAAAACAACGAGUUCUACCCAUCCCACCUCGCAUCUCACCUAGUCAGCUGUUCAACAGCCAAGGUGCUCUGUAGGGCCCAGGUGAGAAUCAAAAUGUAAUUUUUUUAAAAAUCAGCAUUCAUAGUGGUGGGGAUAAAUGCAUGCAAUGCUGGGCUAACCUUGUUAAUCUCAUUGCUGUAAUGGUUCACUUCCUCCUUGAACUUCAGAUCAAUCAUGUUAAAAUCCCUCUGGUCCUUGCCCAGAUGGGCAUCCUGCCAUUUUCCUCGGACCUCAUCAUAUGAUGCGGCUUCUGGCAGGUUUAAUGCAGCCCUGACAGCCUAGAAUGAGAACAGAAACACAGCGGAGGCUGAGGCCAAACGACGAGAGUGUGGGUUUUGACUCAGCACACACUUCACCCCUCUAGGGCAGGCCACGGCCUCGAAGUCCCUCCUUACCUGGGGCCCGCAGUGGGUGGAUUCUUCAAUGAUACGUUGCCUCUUGACAUCUGCCUUUGGCUUCACCAAAAUGUCUUCCACGCCUGUGAAGUGAAACAGACAAGCUUGUAGGCGACCUCAGGCCUGAUUUCUCCCACCAGACUAAACUCAGUAAGGCCAGAGCACAGAGUCCAGUGCCACAGAUGCAGGAAAUACCUGAGUAAGGAAGAUGAUAUUAACAUCAUUAUUAACAGAUUGCCACCAUCUCUUAGGUGCUUACCAGAGCCCAAACCUUAUAAUCCCCAUUUUACAAAUGACAAAACUCAGGCUCAAAAUUGGGCUACUUUCCCAUGGUCGUAUGGGUAGAAAGUAAACCCAGGCCUGGGUCCCAAAUUCAUGUUCUUAGCCACCAGCUAUACUAUCUCCACUCCAUAGACAUGUGUUGGAUGAAUAGGCUGAAGGUGAAGAAGAGGUUUUGGAUGAAAAGAUAAGCUCAGGGAAAAAGAGAGAGAGAACAUCUCAGUCUGGGGUCCCAGAAGUCACAUGUCACAGGGGCCACCCUAUAUAGCUGAGUAUACCUGUGUAGGCACACACACAGACACACCCGAGCCUGGGUGACAAGGACCACCACCACAGGUCCCUCAGCAUUGCUUCAGGAGGAUGACAGCCUGGGUCACUUCAGUGAAGCCUGCCCUUCUGGCUCAAAGGGUUGAGGAAUUCCUCAUCCUGGGCAGCAGUAGGUCUUUCCACAUCAACUCUUGAUCAAACUAGUGUUUUUUUUUUUGUUUUUGUUUUUUGAGACUGAGUCUUGCUCUGUUGCCCAGGCUGGAGUGCAGUGGUGUGAUCUCGGCUCACUGCAACCGCUGCCUCCCAGGUUCAAGUGAUUCUCCUGCCUCAGCCUCUCCAGUAGCUGGGACUACAGGUGCACGCCACCACACCCAGCUAAUUUUUGUAUUUUUAGUACAGACAGGGUUUCACCACGUUGGCCAGGAUGGUCUCGAUCUCUUGACCUCAUGAUCCACCUGCCUCGGCCUCCCAAAGUGCUGGGAUUGCAGGAGUGAGCCACUGCACCUGGCCAAAACUAGUUCUUUUCUGCAACUGUAAGUGCUACUGGACUCAAGAGUCCCUCAGCCAAGAUCUGAGUGGGAAAGAAAACAGCAGGUGUACUGUUCAAAAGAUGGGGCUGAAAUAUUUGGAAUUCCCAACGCAAGGUCCUGGAGGGCUUCUAAGAACAUGUGUGAACAGAAGGGGAAAGAAACAGUUCCUCUGUAAGCAGGCCACACCGUGAAAGUGGGCAUUCCCAUGGGUUCAGCUACAGGCCAACUAGCUGUGCCCUUUAUGGACCCCGCUAGCUGAGACGGGCUGGAGUGAAGUCAAUCUCUCGCCUGUUCCCCCUUGUAGCCCCACUCCCAGCUUGGCCCUGCUUCCUUCUGCAGCCCUGAGCCUCUGGAUCAUCUUCACACUCAAGGGACCAACUGCUCUUUGUACCAUGCACUAAGCAGAGCUAAAGCCUGGCACCUUUGUUAAGUUUGUUCCUCAUCAUGAGCUGGGUGUGGGAUCUUCCUCUAUUUUCGUUUCAAAAGCGCUCUGAUUUUUUCUAGUUAGCAGAAAUCCUUGUGCUUAUUCUAGGUCACCAUUUGAAACUGAAAUAUACAUUUCAUGAGGUGUAGUCAUCAUGCUUCACUUUCUUUGGUUAUCCUGGAAGGUACUCUAGUCUGGUUCCCAACUGGAAGUGGGUGACCUUGGACCUUGAGCCCAGAAGUGGCUCAGGUCUCUUAGUGGAAUUAAGAUGGGGGAAGGUGAGUUUCAGCUGCCAAACAGACUUAACUUAUAAUCCUUAUCCUGGUAAAAUAAUGGGACAUAUAAGCCAAGAUGUUUGUUCAAGGAUGCUCAUCCCAGCAAUAAUGUGAAAAUCUGGAC